rnacentral:tRNA from 1 species
AGUUAAGUCAGCUAAACAAGCUUUUGGGCCCAUACCCCAAGCAUGUAGGUUAGAUCCCUACCUUCACUA